GUGUCUUUGUUAUGUUGUAAAGGAAAGGUUAGAAAAAUAAGUGUUUGUGGUCAAGUUCUUUAUUUCAUAAGGUGGUAUGUAUUUAUCCUGACUGCUGCUAAAUGCUUUAUUGUAAAUAUGUAGAAUUGCAUUAUUGUGAUUCUGUUGUAUUUUGGUUCAGUCCAUUGAUUGUGAAAUUUGUAAAUAAGUAUGAGUUUCAGAAUGACAUGUAUCUAUCAAAUCACCUUUCAUCUUUUAUUCACUAUUAAUAUUUAACCUUGCAGUUAACAGUCACUGGUGUGAUAGUCAGAGAGAUAAUAAUAAGAUUGAUGUACUACACUCAUCCCUCAGAUGAGUGUUGUUGGUUUGUACUUAUCAAAUCUACUUGAUGUAACAACCUUAUUAGAAGAUUGGAUUGGUAUAUAAACAUAUAAGAACUUCA